rnacentral:rRNA from 1 species
GAUGAACGCUGGCGGUAUGCUUAACACAUGCAAGUCGAACGGACUCUUCGGAGUUAGUGGCGGACGGGUGAGUAACGCGUGAGAAUCUGGCUUUGGGUUCGGGACAACCACUGGAAACGGUGGCUAAUACCGGAUGUGCCGAGAGGUAAAAGAGAAAUUGCCUGAAGAUGAGCUCGCGUCUGAUUAGCUAGUUGGUGAGGUAAAGGCUCACCAAGGCAGCGAUCAGUAGCUAGUCUGAGAGGAAGACCAGCCACACUGGGACUGAGACACGGCCCAGACUCCUACGGGGGGCAGCAGGGGGAAAUUGUCCGCAGUGGGCGAGAGCCUGGCAGAGCAAUACCGCGUGAGAGAAGAAGGCUCUUGGGUUGUAAACCUCUUUUCUUAGGGAAGGACAGAAUGACGGUACCUAAUGAAUCAGCAUCGGCUAACUCCGUG